rnacentral:rRNA from 1 species
GGGUGAGUAACACGUGGAUAACCUACCUAUAAGACUGGGAUAACUUCGAGAAACCGGAGCUAAUACCGGAUAAUAUAUUGAACCGCAUGGUUCAAUAGUGAAAGACGGUUUUGCUGUCACUUAUAGAUGGAUCCGCGCCGCAUUAGCUAGUUGGUAAGGUAACGGCUUACCAAGGCAACGAUGCGUAGCCGACCUGAGAGGGUGAUCGGCCACACUGGAACUGAGACACGGUCCAG